UACGAAGGGGGCUAGCGUUGCUCGGAAUUACUGGGCGUAAAGGGAGCGUAGGCGGAUGUUUAAGUUGGGGGUGAAAGCCCGGGGCUCAACCCCGGAAUUGCCUUUAAGACUGCAUCGCUUGAAUCCAGGAGAGGUGAGUGGAAUUCCGAGUGUAGAGGUGAAAUUCGUAGAUAUUCGGAAGAACACCAGUGGCGAAGGCGGCUCACUGGACUGGUAUUGACGCUGAGGUGCGAAAGCGUGGGGAGCAAACAGG
rnacentral:rRNA from 1 species